ACAUUUUAAUUUUUAACUCUAUUUGUUGUGGUGUCUCUUUUUUGAUUGUAUUUUUUAUUUUAUUUUUUGUAAAAUAUUUUGAUUUUUGUUUUUUUUGAAGUGAUAUCAAAAAUUUGAUUUUUGAACUGGAUUAGUACCCAGGUAAACAAAAUUUAUUAAUUCGGGAGUAAAGUUUUUUUUAAACCGAAAAAAUAUUGACUGAUCUUGGAUUUUUCUUUGGAACAUGUGUUUGGAGAGUCCUCCUUUGUAGUUAAGUUUUAUUGGCUCAUGUAUGAUUGUUUAGUUUUUAUUUUUUGGCAAUGCUAAUUUAUUUUUUUUAUUUAAAACAGAUAUAUACUUGGCUUAUGAGUUAAUUUUACAUGUGUUACUAUUACUAAUUUUUUUCGGAUUAAUUUUUAUUUUUUUUUUUUGAAGUUGGAAAAGAAAGUAAUUUUUUUUUUAUG
rnacentral:rRNA from 1 species